CCAACAAACCAUGGGAACCUGAUGCCCUAGAAGAUGCCCUUUGCAAAUUCACACCAAAGGCCUCCCCAAAGUCAUCGUGAAGAACCAAAACACCUCCAGAUGCCUUUGCAAGCGGCUGCAAAACUGGAAUUCUAACAGGGCAAGUUCCAGCACACAGAAUGUCAACUACUGUAUUAUUUCUAUGCGCUUCGCGGCCCAGGUUCUCCAUCCAUUUCAAGGCUGUUUUUUCCAGAUGAGGAUAAUUUGGGUGGCUAAAAGAAUGAGGAACUGAUCCAGGGCCAUAUGUAUUAGGCCCGCCAGCACACACGAUGAUCCUGCUAUUGCCUCCAUUCCUUUUAACUACACCUCGGGACAUUUCUGCUGAUGGUCCUCGAAUUAUAGCCAGAGCAACCUCAACUGCAGUACCCAGGCACCGAUCUCUUAAAGCUUCUGCAAUGUUUGAUUUAUACGGUCUCAAAGAUGAGAAUAUUUUGUGCGCUACUUCCUUUGAAGCAUGCAUCGGUGACAAGUACACCAGUUCCGUAGAUCAAUGCUUUCAAGGACUCUUGGAUAGGUGAUUUGUCACCAGGAAGUACAUCAGCAGAUGCCAUUGAUUCCUCUGAAAAAUCAUAAACUGACACUGUACGACCAUAAAGUAUUAUUCCAAUUCUUGCUGUAGGGGGGAGUGAGUGAAUCCGCAAAUGCAUGCAAAGAGCUUUGUAAAUGCUGCAGGUGGGGUUCAUCUAAACAGUCAUCUAUAACAAGUACAACGGGUGCAGACAUUCUGGAAUCAGAAACAGGAAUAAAACCAGGUCUCUUGUUCCCAGUUUGAACAUAAUCAACAAUGGGAGAUGAAAGUUCUGGAAAGUUGCGAAGAUCUUCUUUGCUUGGAGCUACAUAUUCACCUUCACUUCCAUUCAGUAUCUGGCAAAUCACACAUUGCCACUGGCCUGAACCAAGUAAUAUCUUGCAAUAAAGAUUUGCAUAAGCUCCACAAUUGUGGCAACGAUGAGGAUCGCGCUGUAAUAUUUGAGGACCUGGAAAAAUCUCUCUCCCGGGAGAAAAUAAUGCCCCAAAGCCCAAACUUGGAACAUUUGUUAGUUUCUUUUGCUUCAAGACCUAAUAACAAAAUGAACCGAGCUCGAGUUCAAUUGAAAAUUGCAACUCCAAUGUAAACAAAAAAAUCACAAGAUUCAAGGAUAUAUAUAGGUGAGGCAUUUGGAAAGAAAGGAUAAUCUGACAACAAUUUAUUAACCAAACAAAAAGGUGCUCUCAAAAUCACAACAACAAUCUCAUAAAAGACAGAAAAGAAAAAAAAUUCCCACAACAAUUGGUGCCUUCAGUUUGUACAGGAGAGAGAAUGAUAGAGAUACCUUGUGAGCAGAGAACAAAGCACAUGAUGAUUCAUUGACAAGUGUCGAGUCCUCUGUAGCAAGGGGAACUUGGUGCUGCAACUCAACUGAACCAUUUAAAAAAUGAGGAGGCGAGGAUGUUGGCAAUGUUGAGCCUGAUGAGAAAGCAAUUGGUUGAGGAGUUGCAGGAGAAGUCCGAAAAGGCACAGCAGCAGGCCGGACUGGCGAUUUAAAAACAGGAGGACCAGGGGGGGUGCUUAGAUGAGGAAGGGGGCUCCUAACCCCAUUGGCAGGUGACAACAAAUUUGGGUUCUGGAAAAAAGGGGAAGGGAUCUGAUCUUGUAGCAAUUUAGGAGGAGGAAAUCGAGGAGCUCCAGGUAACAUUGUAGCAGGAGGAGCUGAAUUUUUAUCUAGUUGAGGGGUUGAUGAGUCAGAGUUUGAGGGAGUAACAGUAGAAUAUCCAAGGGAAGGUGGUGGUGGAUUAGUCAUUGCAAUUCAAAGUUUCUCUAUCGAAUAAUCAAGAAUAACCUAGAAGCCAAAAUCAAACUCUAUAGAAAGCUACAGACAGUUGUAUCCCAGGGCCAAUUAUGACAAGAGAAUUCAAAGUGACAACUUUGAGACUGUCAAUUGAUUAUUGAUUGAAAUUCAAUUAAGAAUCAUAAACAAAACAGCCUACAAAGGUCUGAUACACCGGCAGCUCAAGAAUUGCAAUCCAAUCUCAAUAUUGAUGCGGAAGAAGAUACCGAAUGGGAUGACCUUGACAAACCAAAACCCCCAAGUAAAAUCUAAAACCCCAGAGCAAGAAAGGGCUUUGAUGCAAAUCCAGUUCAAGAAAUCCCCAGUAAAAUCAAGAACCCAACUAAAGAACCAAAAUUAUCAGCUUCAGAGAUCAAAUUGAAUGCAAGAAAACCUGAUCUCUCCGCAUAAUUGGGCACCAAAAUCUUCCUCUCGCACAGACAUCUGAAAGAAAAGGAGACCAGUUAGAAUUCCACUUUGUGUCAAGAAAAAGGAUCUAGUUUUCUUCAGCAAAACAAAACCAAUAUUGAAUGAAAUUGAGACGAGGACAGUAGAAUCGACGUACCUGAGAGGGAAAGAAGGAAAAUUGAAAGAUUUGCAGAGUAAAUCUUCAGUCCCUUUUUUAAAAAUCUUAAUUAAAAAAUGGAAAUAUUUUCGAAGUGAUUUUAUAAUCUUUUUGGAUUCUGGGUCCUUUGUCCUCGCAAGCUAGGGAGCUCUCUCUCGUCUCCUGUUGUGUUCGAUUUUCCUUUUACACGAGAGGGAGAAGACAGCAACGUUGCAGUUUGGUCCACAUAAAGUCAACAGGCCAUUUUUUAAUUGUCUUUCUGUAACAGGAUGAAUCGCGAAUGAAGAUCUCCGAUGUCGUUCCAACCCUUCGUUAAAUUAAUUCAACUUCCUCCGAAUUACGGCCCUCGUUACUUUGCGCCUGCAAAGCCCCACUCUGUGAAUCGAAUAAAAAGAAAACACUAAAUUACAAAUUACGUUUACAAAAUAUUAUAAUAAAACUUUAUCAAUAAGAUAAAUUUACACGUUUAUAUAAAAAAAUUAUCUAUUUAUUUUUUUAUUAUCAUCAUCAUUAUUUUUAUUUUAUUUUUAAAAUGAUUUAGGAAAAAAAACGUUAAGGUAAAUAUUUUAAAAAUAUUAGUUCUAACAUUAAUUUUUUUUUAUUAGAGUGAAUCAGGAAUUGAACUCUAAAUUACUUUCAUAUUAUUUGGAUCUCCUUUGGGAACUGCAAAUGGAAAACUUCACGAAGAAUCAUGCCUGAAAGAGGCGGAGCAAAGGAGAUCCGACAUGCCAUCAAAAUAACGGUGAAGAUGGGACAAAACCAGGAAGGCUUUAUUGCUCAUCCAAAGCAUUUCAACCGGGAAACAGUAUAGGACGGGGACCACUUCAAACCUUUUCAAGUGACGGUGAGUACAGAUGUUUUCUUUGUGAAAAAAAAAUAUUAAGGAUGAGAUCAUAGCCGCCGAAGACACCAUCCAGGUUACACCCCCUCGACCACGGAAAGAACAAAAAAAUAGAGACGGGAGAAGAUGGGUUUCCACGGGCGAGGCAGGAUGCAGUUCCCAAGACUCCCUUUUCUUGGAAGUACAUUAGCAAUUAAAUAAUGUAAAACUACAAAUUAACUUGGUUCUGGGGGCACCACUUUCAGACUCCGCAUCCACUCGCAGAAACUUGGAUCAUCAAAGUGAAUAAAGCUGCUUUUUAGCUUUGUUCGUUGUUCUGUUGUCAGAGAUCGAAGCUGCGGGAAUCUUGCCUCCUGCAAUCAAGUUCCAUCAAUUUGGUAAAAAUCCAACACUAUAAGCCUACUAAUAUUAUUGACCAAGAGCUUAUUUUUCUCUUUUCCACCAUAACCUGUUCAUAAGGUGGGUCCUUGUGUGCAGGUAUCAGCCGAGAAACAAAAUAUCUAGCUUGAGAGCUUCCCUCCUGUCAUUAACCCAAACCAACAAGUUGAUCAGUUCGGCCACAAAAGGAAAAAACUUAGGACAAAGGUGCACAGAAAUGGAUUGCAAAGAAUCAAGGGAAGAAAAACCUUGAAUGCAAGGAUUCUAGGUGCUGGAAACCGCAAUUCAGUUAUCUCUUCAGCUAAUGUUCUGCAGGCAGCUAAAGCAGCUGCACUUCUUCCUUCAUCAGCGGCUAGCUCAGCACCCUGUAGUUAGCAGUUAUUGAGAAAGUAUCUUUGUAUAUCAGGACAUAAAUGCCAGCUGACACAGAAAGAAACUCGAGAUAUAGACUAGCGGACUCAAACCAACACUAGUUUGGUAUAUGCAUGUCCAUAGCAAUCAGAUAUCCUCUCAGAAACAGGCAGUCGUGGUGAGGAAAAUUAACAUAAAAGCUGCCAGCUGAAAAUAUAGAAAUUGAUAUUUAAGCGGAAGACUGGCAUCAUUAGAGUUACUAGCACGCUUCUUACCUUCAAUCUAUUACUUCAGAAUUAGAAAAAAAUGCCUCUAAAUUUCUUUUUUUAUUGAAUCACAAAAGGAUUCCUUUUUCUGAAACAAUUAUAAGCAGGGAAGCAAUAAAUGUUUUCCCUUUGUUUCACCUAUCAAUAUUUCUGCCAGGAAAUGUCAUGCUUGAAUGUUUUUCCAUCACCUGAAAUUAGAUCAUUACAUAAACCAUAGCACAGACAAGUGUUUGUCCCCUCCCUAUAUCUGCAAUAAAUUCUUGAAUUUCCUUCCCGGUCAAAAACUUUAAUAGAAAAUACCGACUUUUUUAUCCAUGACACAAAAGUGCUCACAAACCAUGCAAAAACAGACAGCAGACACACCCACAGUUGAAGAUGCUCAGUUCAUGAGAAACGCAGGGGAAAUAAACAUACAAAAUAAAAAUAUUCAAUAAUUAGCAAUAUCAGGGAAUUGCAAAAGGAUGCCAACAUAAAACAGCAAGAAGAAAAGUCAAGUCACUUACCAACCAAAUGAAGACAUCUGUACCAUGGUCAAGAACAACAGCUGUAUCAGACUGCAUCGCAAGGUCAUAAGCUGGAAGUUCCUCAAAAGUGCCCCCUUCCCGGUGCAUUAGACAACGAGGUGCCACCAUACGGAGUGAAAGAUCAAAAGAUGCAUUCAAAAAUAAAUUCCGCAGCACAGACCUCUCAUCUUCAUGACCAACAAUGCUUCCCAAAAGAGGGCCCCGUCUAAGAUGGAAAAGGAGCUCUGGUAAUGCAGAGAGUUCUUUAGGAAAUCGAUGAAGUUUUGACUUGGGUACUAGGGACCCAAAUUUUAAAGCAAUGUCUUUAAUUCUUUCAUCUAUUGUUCCACGCAUAUCCAUGGCAUCUGAAUGGUUUUUGGCUCGCAAGAGGGUUCUCUUGGCCAUCAGGAUUGCAGCCACUUCAUCUUGAAAACUUUCAAGAUAUGCUGAAACACUAUCCACAGUAGGCAACCUGACAGUAACCACUCUUGAAAUAUCAGCUUGAUAAACGUUUGUGUAUUGAACAGUAAACUGGAAAAAUACACAAUCGCUCUUGAUGUCUCCUUUAGUUUCCAUAGAGAUUGCAAAGCUUUGGGUUUCUUCAACACUUAGCAUUUGAAUGCAGAGCGCAUUGUCAUUCUUGAAAGUUUCAUGUGUGUCUACAUGCGCUUCUUCACCAGGACCCACAACUUGAGUAAUUAAAAUAUCAUCAGAACAUCGAAUCUCCAACAAACCAUGGGAACCUGAUGCCCUAGAAGAUGCCCUUUGCAAAUUCACACCAAAGGCCUCCCCAAAGUCAUCGUGAAGAACCAAAACACCUCCAGAUGCCUUUGCAAGCGGCUGCAAAACUGGAAUUCUAACAGGGCAAGUUCCAGCACACAGAAUGUCAACUACUGUAUUAUUUCUAUGCGCUUCGCGGCCCAGGUUCUCCAUCCAUUUCAAGGCUGUUUUUUCCAGAUGAGGAUAAUUUGGGUGGCUAAAAGAAUGAGGAACUGAUCCAGGGCC
rnacentral:lncRNA from 1 species